GACGAACGCUGGCGGCGUGCUUAACACAUGCAAGUCGAACGGAAAGGCCCUGCUUUUGUGGGUUGCUCGAUUGGCGAACGGGUGAGUAACACGUGAGUAACCUGCCCUUGACUUUGGGAUAACUUCAGGAAACUGGGGCUAAUACCGGAUAGGAUCUCCUGCUGCAUGGGGGGGGUUGGAAAGUUUCGGCGGUUGGGGAUGGACUCGCGGCUUAUCAGCUUGUUGGUGGGGUUGUGGCUUACCAAGGCUUUGACGGGUAGCCGGCCUGAGAGGGUGACCGGCCACAUUGGGACUGAGAUACGGCCCAGACUCCUACGGGAGGCAGCAGUGGGGAAUAUUGCACAAUGGGCGGAAGCCUGAUGCAGCAACGCCGCGUGCGGGAUGACGGCCUUCGGGUUGUAAACCGCUUUCGCCUGUGACGAAGCGUGAGUGACGGUAAUGGGUAAAGAAGCACCGGCUAACUACGUG
rnacentral:rRNA from 1 species